rnacentral:lncRNA from 1 species
UUGAAUUUAGUGAGAUAUGAAGUCAAGUGGGUUGUAGUACUUUGUUAUUAAUGUUAACAAGAUCAUUUUUUCGUCUUUUUCUUUUUCUUAUUUUGAUUUUUAAAAAGUGAGAGAGAGUAGAGGAUACAUGGUAGGCGGUUGUAGCUGAAUUUUGCAAGGCUCAUAGUUAACAUUAUAUAGUAAAUUUUAGGGUUGGAAUUUUAACCAAAUGUCC